ACGCGCGCGAUUGAUGAGCGCGAUCCAUUUCGGACAUUGUGACCUAAUUCUUAGUAAAUAUAAGGUGUGGGGAUGCAGAGCAGACCACUAUUGACCCCUGAGGAAGUCCCAGAGAUGAUCUAAGGGACGAAACGCGUUGGGCACAUACCGGCACUCCGCUCCUAUCUAAGGAAAUAACAGAUAAGCCUAAAUGCACUUUUAAACUAGGUAUGCACUUCUACCGCUAGCACACAUCCAGCGGAUUCACAAACUCUACCGGCUGUGAUGGAUUUAGAUUAAGGGAAUCCCUAGCCAACGCAGACCUGUCAUGACGGGGGGAGAGAGCUCUUGAUUGGUUACCAGAAUGAAUGAAUACUGAUUCAGCUCUCGGAUCCAGAAGUAUCCGUGACCAUGCCAGUAAGCCAAAUUAUAUUGUCGGGACCGGAGAACUCAGCUGUGCACACAGCGGGACCUGCACCUACUACACCAGACAACACAGACAGCAUUCCAUCUAUU